UACGGAGGGUGCGAGCGUUGUCCGGAAUCACUGGGCGUAAAGGGCGUGUAGGCGGUCGGCCAAGUCUGAUGUGAAAAGCCCGAGGCUCAGCCUCGGAAGUGCGUCGGAAACUAGUCGGCUGGAGCGCGAUAGAGGAGGGUGGAAUUCCUGGUGUAGCGGUGAAAUGCGUAGAUAUCAGGAGGAACACCGGCGGCGAAGGCGGCCCUCUGGAUCGUUGCUGACGCUGAGACGCGAAAGCGUGGGGAGCAAACAGG
rnacentral:rRNA from 1 species